rnacentral:rRNA from 1 species
CCCCAUGUGAACGCUACCAAACCGUUGCCUCGGCGGGGACUCGCGCCCCGCCGGAGGACCGAACCAAAACCCCUUGCAUGCCCCCCGCGGGCCUUUAUCUCUCUGAACCGUCUCGGCGACCCUAGCGGGCGCCCUGAAAAACGAAUCAAAACUUUCAACAACGGAUCUCUUGGCUCUGGCAUCGAUGAAGAACGCAGCGAAAUGCGAUAAGUAAUGUGAAUUGCAGAAUUCAGUGAACCAUCGAAUCUUUGAACGCACAUUGCGCCCGCCAGCACUCUGGCGGGCAUGCCUGUCCGAGCGUCAUUUCAACCCUCGAACCCCCCCGGGGGUCCGGCGUUGGGGAUCGGCCCUCUACCGGCCGGCCCCGAAAUCCAGUGGCGGUCCCGCCGCGGCCUCCCCUGCGCAGUAGUUUGCACACUCGCAACGGGAGCGCGGCGCGCCCACGUCCGUAAAACACCCAACUUCCGAAAUGUUGACCUCGGAUCAGGUAGGAAUACCCGCUGAACUUAAGCAUAUCAAUAAGCGGAGGAAAAG